rnacentral:rRNA from 1 species
UACAGAGGGUGCGAGCGUUAAUCGGAAUUACUGGGCGUAAAGCGUGCGCAGGCGGUUGUGCAAGUCAGAUGUGAAAUCCCCGGGCUUAACCUGGGAAUUGCAUUUGAGACUGCACGGCUAGAGUGUGUCAGAGGGGGUAGAAUUCCACGUGUAGCAGUGAAAUGCGUAGAUAUGUGGAGGAAUACCGAUGGCGAAGGCAGCCCCCUGGGAUAACACUGACGCUCAUGCACGAAAGCGUGGGGAGCAAACAGG